AUCAACUUCCCAAAGAGAACAUAAGAAUUUUCAACCACAUAAGUUAUUCUCCAGAAUCAGCUCUCUAUUGAAAGGUCAAAAC
rnacentral:lncRNA from 1 species